rnacentral:rRNA from 1 species
AGCGAACGCUGGCGGCAGGCCUAAUGCAUGCAAGUCGAGCGCACCUUCGGGUGAGCGGCGGACGGGUGAGUAACGCGUGGGAACGUGCCCUUUGGUACGGAACAACUGAGGGAAACUUCAGCUAAUACCGUAUGUGCCCUUCGGGGAAAGAUUUAUCGCCAUUGGAGCGGCCCGCGUUGGAUUAGGUAGUUGGUGAGGUAAAGGCUCACCAAGCCUACGAUCCAUAGCUGGUCGAGAGGAUGAUCAGCCACACUGGGACUGAGACACGGCCCAGACUCCUACGGGAGGCAGCAGUAGGGAAUCUUGCGCAAUGGGCGAAAGCCUGACGCAGCCAUGCCGCGUGAAUGAUGAAGGUCUUAGGAUU